GAUUAGGGAAAGACCAAGUACGCAGUGUGCCUCCAUUUCAAAUCAGAGCAGAAACAAAUGGUGCAAAGAUAAAACUGGAGAGUCUUCAUUGGAAGCACAUGAUUGCUUCUAACAUUUAUAACGAGCUGUACUGUGGGAGGACCUCAUAACAACCAGAAACUGACAAUGAACACAGGCCACAAACCAGGGAGAAGUCUGUAAGAAUCAGAAAUACACAACCCACAAGGAGAUGAUUUGGACAAUUUUGGACUUCAGAAAGGACGAGAGAACAGAUAUCAAUCAUCAGAGAGGGAUCAGAAGUGGAGACAGUGAGAAAUUUCAUGUUCCUGGGUGUCAAUAUCACCGAGGAUCUAACAGUUUUGAACAAGGUUGGAGGCGACAUCGGAUGUACAACAACCCUGGCAGGGUUUGCAAGACAUUACUUCCUACAAAGCGAGACCCAAUAGCAUGAAUGGCAGCGAUGCUUCACUACCAGAUGAAUUCUACGCCUUCUAUGCCCGCUUUGAAAGGGAGAAUGUAACUACAGCUGUGAAGAUCCCUGCUGCACCCGGUGACCCUGUGAUCUCUGUCACAGACGCCUAUAUUAGGCUAUCUUUAAAGGGGGUGAACCCUUGCAAGGCAGAAAGUCCUGAUGCAGUACCUGAUAAGGCUCUGAAAACUUCUGCAAACCAACUGGAGGGAGUAUUCCAGGACAUUUUCAACCUCUCACUGCUAU